rnacentral:rRNA from 1 species
GAGACCUACGGGAGGCAGCAGUGAGGAAUAUUGGUCAAUGGACGAGAGUCUGAACCAGCCAAGUAGCGUGAAGGAUGACUGCCCUAUGGGUUGUAAACUUCUUUUAUAUGGGAAUAAAAUGUUCCACGUGUGGGAUUUUGUAUGUACCAUAUGAAUAAGGAUCGGCUAACUCCGUGCCAGCAGCCGCGGUAAUACGGAGGAUCCGAGCGUUAUCCGGAUUUAUUGGGUUUAAAGGGUGCGUAGGCGGACUGCCAAGUCAGCGGUAAAAUUGCGGGGCUCAACCCCGUCGAGCCGUUGAAACUGGC